rnacentral:tRNA from 1 species
GGUGGCUUAGUGGUAGAGUACUUGCUUUGCAUGCAUGAGGCCCUGAGUUGAUUCCUCAGUACCA